ACAAAUGCAGGCGGGGAGGGGCUGAGCACCGUGGCCCGGGGGGACAGACCCCCGGCGGGCGACCACAGCGCAGCGGACAGUGAGCAGAGCCCCACGCGCGCCAAAGGGCAGAGCGUCCCGCCCCUGCGCCGCCGGACAGCCCACCGCGCCCCCGCCGCGCCGGCCACUCGGAGCCCUGCGUCCCGGCCUCGCGGGUCCGCGCCCCGCCGGGCCCCGACUCUAGCGCGCGCCCCGCCUCCGCCGCUCGGCCCCCUCGGCCCGCCCCGGCCCGGCCCGCGGCGGCGGCGGCGGCGGCGGCAACGGAGUGUCACGGCGCCAUUGCUCUUCUGCCUCCGCUCUGCACCAUGUCAGGAAGGAGAACCGCUCCUUCACCCGGGGGGCAGAGGAGGCGGCCUGCGGCGGCGGCCGGCGCGGGGGACCCGGCGGGGGAGGCGCGGGGCGGGGAGGCGGCCGGACAGGGUGUGGGAGGGGAGCGAGCCGCACCGCCGCAGCGGCCGCCUCCUCCCGCGCCCGCCUCAACUUUUUGUACAGCCCGGAGAGGCGCGGGCCCCGAGCCCCGCGGUCCUGCCGCGGGGUCCCCGCCGAGGACACGCAGCGGAGUUGGGGGCCGGCUCCCCCGGCAGCCCGCUCCUCCUGAGCAAACUUAGCGGCUCGGCCAGCCCCACAGCCAUUUUCCCGGGGAGGCGACCGAGGCGGCAGGCGACCGUGCCCGCAGUUAGCGCUUCGCCUCCCGAGCCCGAUCGCUGCCCGGCACCCCGGGCACGGCCCGCCCUGCAUCCCCCUCCGCGCCCGCGGAGCUCCCAACUGCACCGGGACCCCAUCGCGGCAGCAGCUGCUCCCGCCGCUUCGUCCAUUCAGCGGCCCCCGCUGCCCCGCUGCCCACCCACCUACUGCGGGUGCAGCGCGCUGUCAGCUCUCCAGUCCGCCGCCCUACUGACCGCCGUGGGCCCCCGUCCGGGAAGCACCGCUCCCGGCCGCAGCGGCAGUUCCUGCGCCGGGUUCCCCACUCGCCCCGAUUUACUGCCACAAUCCACCAAAUAA
rnacentral:lncRNA from 1 species